UACGUAGGGUGCGAGCGUUGUCCGGAAUUAUUGGGCGUAAAGAGCUUGUAGGCGGUCUGUCGCGUCUGCUGUGAAAAUCCGGGGCUCAACCCCGGACUUGCAUUCGAUACGGGCAGGCUAGAGUUCGGUAGGGGAGACUGGAAUUCCUGGUGUAGCGGUGAAAUGCGCAGAUAUCAGGAGGAACACCGGUGGCGAAGGCGGUUCUCUGGGCAUGUCCUGACGCUGAGGAGCGAAAGUGUGGGGAGCGAACAGG
rnacentral:rRNA from 1 species